GUACACGCUGUGACUAGCAUAUCAAUAAGCGGAGGAAAAGAAACUAACAAGGAUUCCCCUAGUAACGGCGAGUGAAGCGGGAAGAGCUCAAAUUUGAAAUCUUAAAGGGUUUCCCUUUACGAAUUGUAGUUUAAAGAAGUGUUUUCUGUUGAGGUUUUGGUAAAAGUUCUUUGGAAUAGGACAUCAUAGAGGGUGAGAAUCCCGUAUUUGACCUUUACUUUCAACUUUGUGAUACACUUUCAAAGAGUCGGAUUGUUUGGGAAUGCAGUCCAAAAUGGGUGGUAAAUUUCAUCUAAAGCUAAAUAUUGGCGAGAGACCGAUAGCGAACAAGUACCGUGAGGGAAAGAUGAAAAGAACUUUGAAAAGAGAGUUAAACAGUACGUGAAAUUGUCAAAAGGGAAGCGUUUGACACCAGUGUUGUUUUUCUGAAAAUCAAUUAAAGAACUGUUUAUGCUAAGUUGUUUAGACUUUAUCAGCUAACUGUUUAGUUUUGAGCUUUUCUUUAAUGCACUUUUCAGUUAACAAGUCAACAUCAAUUUCUUUUGCUGUAAAAAAGCUUGAGGGAGGUGGCUUGAGAUUCGUCUUAAGUGUUUAUAGCCUCUUGCCUAUGCAGUCGGAGAGAUUGAGGUCUGCAGCGUAGAUCCUUCGGGGCUAAAUGCAUUUGUGCUAAGUUAUAGCAUUUUAUAGACAACUUGUUGACUAUGAUUUGUCUUGUAGCUUACUCGCUUAUGUUAUUUUACCUACGCUUAGGAUGUUGAUAUGCAUGACUGAUAU
rnacentral:rRNA from 1 species